rnacentral:rRNA from 1 species
GAUGAACGCUGGCGGCGUGCCUAAUACAUGCAAGUCGAACGCACAGCGAAAGGUGCUUGCACCUUUCAAGUGAGUGGCGAACGGGUGAGUAACACGUGGACAACCUGCCUCAAGGCUGGGGAUAACAUUUGGAAACAGAUGCUAAUACCGAAUAAAACUCAGUGUCGCAUGACACAAAGUUAAAAGGCGCUUUGGCGUCACCUAGAGAUGGAUCCGCGGUGCAUUAGUUAGUUGGUGGGGUAAAGGCCUACCAAGACAAUGAUGCAUAGCCGGGUUGAACGACGGAACGGCAACAUGGGACAGGGAAAACGGCCCCAACUCCUACGGGAGGCUGACAUAGGGAAUCUUCCACAAUGGGGGAAAGCCUGAUGGAGCAAGGCCGCGUGUGUGAUGAAGGCUUUCGGGUCGUAAAGCACUGUUGUAUGGGAAGAACAGCUAGAAUAGGGAAUGAUUUUAGUUUGACGGUACCAUACCAGAAAGGGACGGCUAAAUACGUGCCAGCCGCCGCGGUAA